UACGUAGGGGGCAAGCGUUGUCCGGAAUCAUUGGGCGUAAAGCGCGCGUAGGCGGCCCGGUAAGUCCGCUCUGAAAGUCCAGGGCUUAACCCUGGAAAGCGGGUGGAUACUGCCGGGCUAGAAUCCGGAAGAGGCGAGUGGAAUUCCUGGUGUAGCGGUGAAAUGCGUAGAUAUCAGGAAGAACAUCGGUGGCGAAGGCGCUCUGCUGGACCAUAACUGACACUCAGGGACGAAAGCUAGGGGAGCGAAUGGG
rnacentral:rRNA from 1 species